GUACUUAAGGACACACCAGCCUCCUCUGCUCCAUCUUUUUGAUGCAUGGCAUGUCAGCAAAGGCGUCAAAAAGCAGCUUAUCGCUGCUGGCAAGCACCGAGGCUGCGAAUUGAUUGGCCUCUGGAGGCGGUCUAUCAUAGCACAUCUCUACUUCGCCGUCGGAGUUGGAAAGGGCAAUGGGGAUCUUGCCAUAGCUGUGUGGCUCUCCCUCCUGAAUCACAUCCAGGACAAGCACACUGGACACGGCCUGCUGUACCCGGAGUGCAAGCAUGGGGAGCUGGAGCGAAGGAAGUGGAUCUUGCCAGGCACGGAUGCUUAUGACAGGCUACAUGCCAUUGUCACAAGCAAACGGCUUCUGGAUGACAUCAGGCAGGUGUCGCCCAAUUUUCAGACAUUUGGCGUGGAGUCAUUCCACUCCAUAAUAAACAGGUUCGCUCCAAAAUGCUAUGCAUUUUCGCAU
rnacentral:lncRNA from 1 species